GACGAACGCUGGCGGCGUGCCUAAUACAUGCAAGUAGGACGCAGUUGCGAACGGGUGAGUAACGCGUAGGUAAAUGCCUAUUAGAGGGGGAUAACUAUUGGAAACGAUAGCUAAUACCGCAUACUAGUAGAUGGACCUGCGUUGUAUUAGCUUGUAGGUGAGGUAACGGCCCACCUAGGCGACGAUCCCUAGCUGGUCUGAGAGGAGUGUCAGCCAAACUUGGACGGGGAAACGGCCCAGCCUCCUACGGGAGGGAGCAGUAGGGAAUCUUCGGCAAUGGGGGGAACCCUGACCGAGCAACGCCGCGUGAUUGAAGAAGGUUUUCGGAUCGUAAAGCUCUGUUGUUAAGGAAGCGGUACUUAACCAGAAAGGGACGGCUAACUACGUGCCAGCCGCCGCGGUAAUUC
rnacentral:rRNA from 1 species